CAGGGGGUAUUUUAUUUAAAAUGUUAGUUUUGGGGACUGAUGAAAUGGCGUACGUCUUUCCUCUGA
rnacentral:tRNA from 1 species